GUUUGUUCGUCGAAUUCGACGCUUCUGCAGAAAUAUUUUUCUGCUCUGAGACAAAGAGCUUGACACUCGUCCAAAGUAAGGUGUUCUCCAAGUAGUCGGAAUUUGGGUCGUCUUCAAGUAGCUCUGGAUGAGUUCUCCUGGUAAAACGACUUAGAGCACAGCUUCUCAGUGCUGUGUCAUAGGUUGCAGAUCGACAGAUGAAGCUGAACUCGUUUAGACAUCUUUGAAGCAAAGAAGAAAACACAUCAAGUGUAAUUAAUCAUAAACUUUUCAUUUGUGGUUCGAAGCCCAGCUAGUUACGAUAAUCAAGCAGAUAAUGGACAAGUAAUAAUGUAAUGCUUGAAAGUUGGAAACACGGUCCGUUGCUUUUACGGGCGUGUGGUCCUUUGCCCUCGUGUAUGUACUUACACAUAUGUACGCAUACAACUUGCAGAGGAAAAGGUUCAUGGGGGUGCGAGCAUGUGGAGGUGUUCAGGACAAAAUUAACUUAAUGGCAAAGGUGACUAGAUCCUCCAGCGACCAACUGUAGCCCGCAAUUAUGAACGGAAUGUAUCAAUUUGCAAAUGAUCAAUUAUCCCACACGUGCCUGUCUGUUAAAGGUAUUGAAUGCAGUACAACAUGUGCCUCAUAGAAACGCUGCUUAUUAAUUACGUUAUGGUUUAUCGCCUCGAUAAUUGUACAUAGUUGCCUGUUCAAAGGGGAUGGAUGCUUGUUCAGUGAUUAACGUUACGGUCGACGAGAGAAAAUUACAGAUUUGGUCAUUCGAGUACUCGUAAUACUAUAUUCAAACGAUACUGUGAUUACAGAUUAUUGAAUUUCCUUAAUUGUUCUGUUCGCUAUUGAACAAAACUGGUCGAGACUAAACAGUGAAUGUAGGGAAAGGUAACAAUGGUAUGUAACAAAGAUUUAAGCUGUUGUAAGAGGGAGUUUUGAUGGAGGGAUGUUUUGUGGUGGUGACUGUUAUAUGGCUGUGUGUGGUUUGUGGAAUUGGAGAUUUGGGAGUUUUAAAUUUUGUGAUUUGAUUUCGCAGAAGAACCGCCUGCUCCGCAAGUUCUUCCUCAUCAACUCGUAGGACCUCGAUCAGCUUCCUACUAAAACGAUCCCAAGAAAAAACCCACUAGAACCGGCCAUCCAACGCGAAUGGCACCUGUAAUCAAACUGGCGGUCAAAAUCAGCGCAAACAGUGAAAAUAAUGGAUAACACCUGACAAAUAGGUAGGGGAAGAGAUGGCGAU